GUGGGGAAUUUUCCGCAAUGGGCGAAAGCCUGACGGAGCAAUCUCGCGUGAGGGAUGACGGCCUAUGGGUUGUAAACCUCUUUUUUCAGGGAGGAACAAAAUGACGUGUACCUGAAGAAUAAGCAUCGGCUAACUCCGUGCCAGCAGCCGCGGUAAGACGGAGGAUGCAAGUGUUAUCCGGAAUCACUGGGCGUAAAGCGUCUGUAGGUGGUUUAAUAAGUCAACUGUUAAAUCUUGAAGCUCAACUUCAAAAUCGCAGUCGAAACUAUUAGACUAGAGUAUAGUAGGGGUAAAGGGAAUUUCCAGUGGAGCGGUGAAAUGCGUAGAUAUUGGAAAGAACACCGAUGGCGAAGGCACUUUACUGGGCUAUUACUGACACUCAGAGACGAAAGCUAGGGUAGCAAAUGGGAUUAGAUACCCUAGUAGUCC
rnacentral:rRNA from 1 species